AGAUGGUUCUCUAACGGUCUCUCCUGAGGUUCUGAUAAUUUCAAACGUGUCUCAUCCUGUAUUAACAUUCAGCAUAUCUGAUGAAGAAUGUCUACCGGGAUAUUUUGGAAGAAAAUGCGAAAUUCCUUGCCGGUAUCCAAACUACGGUGUUCAAUGUCAGUCAAAAUGUGAAUGAAGGAGACCUGAAUAUUGUGAUCAUAUAAGAGGAUGUUUAGACUCAGAGAGAAAAUGUAACCCUUCAGAAAACCAAGGAAGAAGAAGGGCGGCAAAGUUAUAUAGCAUCAUUGUUCUUUGUAUUAUAGCGGUCUUCCAAUUUACGUUUUAUAUCUAUCUUUCAUUUUUAUACAAAAGAAAACUGUUUCUGGAUCGUCAUCAAAUGUAACAAUAUAAAUCUAUAUAGCAGCUACAGAUAUAAAUACAUACCUUUUAUGAAACCAAAAAUGAAAUUAGAUAUUUUGUUUCUUUAAAUUUGUAUGCCUUUCAAUAGUUUGUUAACCCAUUCCCCACAGUUACGCAUUUUUACGCAAUUACCAUUUCCUAUUUCUGACACAAAAUCGUGCAUAUACCAUUCCAAGCAAUCAUGCAUUUUUCAAGCACUUUCAAGAGUAAUUUUAAUCUUCAAUUGAAUGCCUUUUUCCUUCUUUUUUAUAUUUGCUAAAAUCUCAUAAUAUAAGAAAAGUUAUAAACUAAUUAGAAUAGUAUUUUAUAUUUAUUUACGCUUCUAUCGCGCUUUAAAGUGUCUACUCGGAAAAGGUAAAGUUAUACUUCGAUGACGUGAACAUUAAGCGAAUGUUGUCUCAGAGUUCAGUAAGUUGUAAAGAGUUAAACGAUAGAAGAAUUUUUCUGCAUGCAAACAGUUUGAAUAUAUGUUUUUAGUGGAGCAUGUGCACAUAUAAAAAUCUGCUUAUCAAGAAUCAAGAUAUUCUUGCAAUGUCCGAGGUCUUGAAUCAUAACGAUACCCUGGA